rnacentral:lncRNA from 1 species
AGUUUGACCCCGGAAGUGCGGGCGCUCAGGGAGCUGUCACCGUGGUCGGCGGCGGCGGCGGCGGCGGCGGCACAGAGCCGGUGGUGGAGCCGCCGAGGUUAUCAUCAUCUCUUUCUGGUCAUGUCUGUCUCAUACUUAAAUGACUCCUCACUGCCUUCAGGAGGGUCACGCAGCACAAUGCCAGCUCUGCCCCUGGACCAACUCCAGAUCACCCACAAGGACCCGAAGACAGGAAAGCUGAGGACUUCACCAGCGCUGAUUUGUACCUGUAACUCCAUGAUACAAAUUUGAUUUAAAUGGGAGGGGGUCCUGCAGACCCACAUGAGAGGUGGCCUUGAAGAAUCCUUGUGGUACCCACAGGCUCUACAGUUUGGAAACUCGCCACCCCGAGCAGAAGGCAGACCGGUAUUUUGUGUUAUACAAACCGCCCCCUAAAGACAACAUUCCCGCCCUAGUGGAGGAGUACCUG